rnacentral:lncRNA from 1 species
GAAGGGUGUUAUUUUUUCAGAUGUUCAGCCCACAAGACCUUACUGGUGAAGGAAUGGGACAAGACCCAUCUUUAUGCAAAGCCAGCGUUACAGUAAUGUCCCAGGAGCAGCUUGUUGCUAUAUACCAUUGAAAAGCCUUCAGAGCUGAGAGGUACUACUAACCAAUAACCUGCUUGGCUCAAAGGGCCAGCACCUUCUCUCUAAAGCCCAAGAGGAGUUUGAGGAAAACUAGGUGUCUGUGUUCACUCCAGGCUGAAGUUACAGGUCUGAGCAAAUAAGGUGUAUAAAAAAUGGAAUCUGUCUUGGAGGACAUCGGAAGGUGAAUUUUCCAAGUCCUUGGACAACCUAGCUGUUGAAAAGCUUUCUGGGUUUGGGGAGUAUUUCAGAUGUACCUUAAAGUGUUAGCAGACACAGAUUAAGACACUGGGAGCCAAUGAAACAGCAGUUGAGGGUUUGCUGUGUAUCACAUUUCUGUAUUUUAUCACCCCCUUCCUGCAACAUUAUUUCUCUGGAAUCUACCUGCCCUUUUGUUUUUUAGAUACAAGGGCUUGGUUUUGUUACCCAGGCUGGUUUCAAGGCCAUAGCUUUAAGAGAUCCUCUCACCACAGAUUUCCAAAGUGCUGGGAUUGCAGGUGUGAUUCAUGGCACCCAGACUUUGCUGCCUUUCUUACAUAAUCCAGGCCCAGAACCCAAACUCAGGCACUGCAUAGAUGACCAGUUUUGUAAACUACUGACCUAGCUUGUUGCCAAUUGUUGAUUGAACUUCCCAUAACUCCACUUCGUGUCUGUUCCUCUGUAUACAGCCACCUUCUGUUCCCAUCAUGAGCCUUUAGGUCUCCAUUUGCAUAUUGCAAAUACUAUGUUCCAUGUAGGUAGCUCAUGCAGGGCCUUGCUCUUCACUUCAAAAAAGGUUCCCUUGAGGACUGGCUGUCAAUUUGUGUUGCUGUGUUGGUUG